rnacentral:rRNA from 1 species
UAAGGAAUAUUGGACAAUGGAGGCAACUCUGAUCCAGCCAUGCCGCGUGAAGGAAUAAGGCCCUAUGGGUUGUAAACUUCUUUUAGACGGGACAAAACCCCUUUACGUGUAAAGGGUUGAUGGUACUGUCAGAAUAAGCAUCGGCUAACUUCGUGCCAGCAGCCGCGGUAAUACGAAGGAUGCAAGCGUUAUCCGGAAUUAUUGGGUUUAAAGGGUGCGUAGGCGGACUAAUAAGUCAGUGGUGAAAGCCUGCAGCUUAACUGCAGAAUUGCCAUUGAUACUGUUAGUCUUGAGUACAGUUGAGGUAGGCGGAAUGUGUCAUGUAGCGGUGAAAUGCUUAGAUAUGACACAGAACACCGAUUGCGAAGGCAGCUUGCUAAGCUGUAACUGACGCUGAGGCACGAAAGCGUGGGG